UGGGUUGUGGCUCAGUGGUAGAGCACUUGCCAAGCACACGAGAGGCCCUGGGUUCAAACCUCAGCACCACAU
rfam:Ictidomys tridecemlineatus contig113946, whole genome shotgun sequence.